AUUGAACGCUGGCGGCAGGCUUAACACAUGCAAGUCGAGCGGGGGAAGGUAGCUUGCUACCUGACCUAGCGGCGGACGGGUGAGUAAUGCUUAGGAAUCUGCCUAUUAGUGGGGGACGACAUCUCGAAAGGGAUGCUAAUACCGCAUACGUCCUACCGGAUAAAGCAGGGGAUCUUCGGACCUUGCGCUAAUAGAUGAGCCUAAGGCGGAUUAGCUAGUUGGUGGGGUAAAGGCCUACCAAGGCGACGAUCUGUAGCGGGUCUGAGAGGAUGAUCCGCCACACUGGGACUGAGACACGGCACAGACUCCUACGGGAGGCAGCAGUGGGGAAUAUUGGACAAUGGGGGGAACCCUGAUCCAGCCAUGCCGCGUGUGUGAAGAAGGCCUUAUGGUUGUAAUGCACUUUAAGCGAGGAGGAGGCUACUUUAGUUAAUACCUAGAGAUAGUGGACGUUACUCGCAGAAUAAGCACCGGCUAACUCUGUGCCAGCCGCCGCGGUAA
rnacentral:rRNA from 1 species